rnacentral:miRNA from 10 species
AGGGUGACCAACUGUCCUGGUUUGCCUGGAACUGAGGGGGUUCCUGGGGUAUGGAACUUGCUGCGUUUUUGGUUUUGGUUGUUUUUUU